GAACGAUAACGGCGUCGAGCGGCGGACGGGUGAGUAAUGCCUAGGAAAUUGCCCUGAUGUGGGGGAUAACCAUUGGAAACGAUGGCUAAUACCGCAUGAUGCCUACGGGCCAAAGAGGGGGACCUUCGGGCCUCUCGCGUCAGGAUAUGCCUAGGUGGGAUUAGCUAGUUGGUGAGGUAAGGGCUCACCAAGGCGACGAUCCCUAGCUGGUCUGAGAGGAUGAUCAGCCACACUGGAACUGAGACACGGUCCAGACUCCUACGGGAGGCAGCAGUGGGGAAUAUUGCACAAUGGGCGCAAGCCUGAUGCAGCCAUGCCGCGUGUGUGAAGAAGGCCUUCGGGUUGUAAAGCACUUUCAGUCGUGAGGAAGG
rnacentral:rRNA from 1 species